AGUGAACGCUGGCGGUAGGCCUAACACAUGCAAGUCGAACGGCAGCACAGUAAGAGCUUGCUCUUACGGGUGGCGAGUGGCGGACGGGUGAGGAAUACAUCGGAAUCUACUUUUUCGUGGGGGAUAACGUAGGGAAACUUACGCUAAUACCGCAUACGACCUACGGGUGAAAGCAGGGGAUCUUCGGACCUUGCGCGAUUGAAUGAGCCGAUGUCGGAUUAGCUAGUUGGCGGGGUAAAGGCCCACCAAGGCGACGAUCCGUAGCUGGUCUGAGAGGAUGAUCAGCCACACUGUAACUGAGACACGGUCCAGACUCCGACGGGAGGCAGCGGUGGGGAAUAUUGGACGAUGGGCGCAAGCCGGAUCCAGCCAUACCGCGUGGGUGAAGAAGGCCUUCGGGUUGUAAAGCCCUUUUGUUGGGAAAGAAAAGCAGCAGGUUAAUACCCCGCUGUUCUGACGGUACCCAAAGAAUAAGCACCGGCUAACUUCGUG
rnacentral:rRNA from 1 species